GCUUACGGCCACACAGCCUGGUUCACGCACGAUCUCGUUUGAUCUCGGAAGGCAAGAUAGGUUGGGCCUGGUUAGUACUUGGAUGGGAGACCGCCUAGGAAUACCAGGUGCUGUAAGCC
rnacentral:rRNA from 1 species